rnacentral:lncRNA from 1 species
CAUAGUGGAGUUACUUUCUUGUUUGAGUCAUUUUGGUCCUCAAGUUUCAUUCCUUCACUCCUUGACCUCCUCUCUUGUUCCUAGUUGCUCCAAUGGUCCCUUAUAACUUCCAAUUGGUGCUUGGCUUGAUCAAUUGCUUGAUGUGUUCAUCGGAUCAACUUUCAGAUAAUUGCAAUUUGGUCCCUGAAUUUUCUCUUUGCUUCAAUUUGGUCAUUUUUCGGCUCUUUUCUCCUGAAUUCCACUAUUUCCAUAGAAUUUCCUACAUUGCAUGAAUUUGACAAGGUUAAGUAACAAUUAAAUCAAUUUACCUGUAUUUAAGUCAUGUUUGUGAUGUAAAUAAGUGUGCAAAAACACACUUAUCAA